AGGGCCUAUUCAUCAAAACACAUAAUGUGAAGCAUAUCACAUAUUGUACGGGUCCUCCUACGCAUUCCAUAUUUAGCACGUAACUGUCUGUGAUGGCACGGGUCUAUCCGUUUCAGAGAAGGCAGAGGUCACCUCGCCCUUGCCCUGCUCUCUGUUGUUGCCAGAACCGGAGACGUAGGCUACCAGGUAAUGUCCUCGUUAUAGCCAUCGCAGGAGUGGUAGACGUGUGACGUAAUCGAAUAAACACUAAAUCAAUCCCUCGACAGAAGGUCGGGGAGACUGAUAUUGCAUGCUUUUCGGAUGCUGUUUUUUUUACGGUUUUCUCGUCGAUAGUUUUAUUUAAAGAUUACGAUUCCGAGUGGUAUUUUUCGGAGUGGUCAAGUUCAUCUCACUACAGUGUACACAAGCAAAUUACUGAGUUAUUGUAGAGCAUUCUUCGUACGUAGCUAUAGUGUGAUCCUAAAGUCAAUAGGACCACCAGUCGACCUCUUUGAAGAUAGUAAUGUGGGCUGGACUACUCCCACUCCAAAGAUGACGACAACAGAAGCCCCCGCUCUCGCCUAGAUUACGAAGGCUGAAAAGAAAAGACCACGAAUGAAGGACGAAGCAUCGAGAGGUCAGUGGCAGACCGAGAGGUCGUCGUGCAGCAUCUCUACGGCCUGCUGGGCUGGGACUACAGAGAUGAGGAUUCAGAAGUUGAGGAGGAGCUGCAGCACAAGCUCUCUGUCAUGGGAUCGCACUCCAUGGGGGAGAAGUGUGGAUCCAGGCAUGGGACUGAUGCUGAGGGAGAUCCAGAACGGGACGAAAAGCCCAAACGGAAGCGUAAGCUGGUCCAGUUGGAGGCCACAUCCCCUCGCCUGGAGACCGGUUGCUUUCCUCCGCAGUCAAAACGCGCGACUACCAGGAGGUACCACGUCAAACAGCGCAACGAGCUGUGGAGCGUUGAACCCUCCUCUUUGUCCGCCCCAAGGAGACGCCCGGUGGUGGUGCUGAAGAUGCUCUCUGAGCAAGAAAUACGCACUGCCCUUUGUCCUCCCAGCCACCAACGCUGCACGGUAUUGGUGUUUCUCGUGACGAUGUCGACAACGACGAUGAUCAUGUACAUGUUGUCGGUGACGUCUACCUGGAUAACGAUGGCGAUGAUGUCAUCGACAGACAGGGGCUUGGCGACUGGCUGGGGUUCUUCGACCGAGGAUUCCUGGAAAGGGAAGGCCAGCGCCUGUGCUAGGGACACUGGAUCCCUUUUGAGGACAAGUGCAAAAGACAACAAGGCAAAAAUCAAAAUCUGUCACAGUGGAAAGGCAAAAUGGAGUGGUGGACCCCUGGGGCGGACAUCCCAGGAGACGCCCACCGGAGAUUCAUCAGGGAGUACCUGAAGGUGUGGCCGGAACCCUCCUAUGGCCAACUACGGCGUGAUGAGCAGCUCAACGUGGAGUGCAGAGAGCCUGCGAGGUGCUCCGUGCAGACUGCAGCCUGAUGCAUGUCCUCCUCAAGCAUAGCGGACUCAAGGAGUGGAUUUAUCGAGGUUCCAUGCGUCUGGAGCACUCGGUCAACACGAAUAAGGUUCUGAAGAACACGGACAGGGCGGGAGAGACAAAGGCGGCUGAACCCAGCAGCGCAUCCCACGAAAAUCCGCAGGAAGCAUGUCCCGGGUCUCGACCCACUCCACCGGCCGCCAUGGGUGAACUACACUCCCCGCCUGCCUGCCUGGAACUAGUCUGGCCCGACAGGCCUAUGGAAGCGUUGCGUAAGCGCAACCCGCUGCUCGCCCCCAUGAUGUACAAGUUCAGACGGGCCAAGAGGCAGCUCACCCCUGACACCAUGGCCUCGGUAUUGAGUCUGGACGGCUCGUAAACAGGGUGUCCCCGUGGAGACGAAGCCCACCUACAGCGUAUACUGCUACGCCCCCUGCGGCCUGCCCCUGACCGCCAUCGCCCAGGUGGAGCAGUACCUGCAUGACACGCGCUGCGACUUCCUGUCCAUGGACCCGCACCUGUCUGUCACCGGUGCGAAACCCCUCCCCUUCAAGGAGUUCCUUCCCGACCUGUCCGGCGGCAGGGAGAACAAGGCGGUGCCCUGCAUCAACGAGCACAACGGCCAGCUCCCCCCCCAAGAGGAGCUACCGGAGCGGCCGCGACACCAGCCACGUCCGUCUCGACCCCAGCCCCGGCGUUGUGCCGGGCUGCAGCUGCGUCGACGGUUGCAGGGACAGGUGUGCGCGUCCGUGUUUGGUGGAUCGGGUGGUGCCCAAUUGAAACGAAAGCCAGCCAUGCCCACUUGAUAGAACCUCGUUCCCAGUCGUUCUCAUUUCACAACCGAAUCGCAUGGCGCUUGGAAAAGCUUGACUUGUGCGUUAUUUGCGAGACAGAGAGGCUAUUCGUUGCAGUGACAUGGUUUUACCAGACUUCAGGUAGAGGGAUAUCCAAUUCGGUUACAUAUUUUGGAUUUUGCUCUGUCAAAUUCUUCGUCAUAAGUAAAUACGUAGAUGAAAACACAAGCUGAGAAACAAUGGUACAUGUGAACAGAGUAGACAUACUAGUGUAUACACCUUUCACCUUGCACAGGAUACAAGCAGGACUUCCACAGGAUAGUGUAAUUAUAUAGAUAUGAUUAUGCUGGAUAUUUGCUUAGUAUAAAUAUAAUUGCACUGGGUGAAUUGUGUAAGUAUGAAUAGAUAGAACAGUACAGGUUAUUAAUAUAUAUCCCUGUUAUUGAGUUUAAGUUAUGUGUUGUAACAAAUUAAAUAAAUUACCACGUUAAGAAGAAUUUAAAAUGAAAGAUUGUGCAGCUCCCUUACUGAACAUAUUUUCUGUCUCUAUGCCUCUGCCACAAAGAGAGUCCCGCUCCCGUCGCCAGCUGACUAUCCAGAGCACCGGUGGGAGAGAUGGAGGAGAACUGCGGCUACGCUCAAAAGAGACUCAACAAUGCAGUGGUUACUGGGUGAACCUUCACUGUUAUCUCUAGUUAAUGACUAGUGUGCUCUGGUUUUACUUCUGUGACUUUUUAGUCACUGCACGUUUGUACAAAGUGAAAAAAAAAACAGCAAAAGGAAUAUAUUUGUAUAUUGUUCAAUAUUUGCAGACCUGCUUGAUCCAGUUUACUAUGUUAUAGGUUCUUUCUUGAAUGGCCACCUCAGCAGAAACACUAUAGUGUGUGUGUGUGUGUGUGU